GGGAUUGCCCUAGUAACGGCGAGUGAAGCGGCAACAGCUCAAAUUUGAAAUCUGGCGCAAGCCCGAGUUGUAAUUUGUAGAGGAUGCUUCUAGGUAGCGACCGGUCUAAGUUCCUUGGAACAGGACGUCAUAGAGGGUGAGAAUCCCGUAUGUGACCGGCCCGCACCUUCUACGUAGCUCCUUCGACGAGUCGAGUUGUUUGGGAAUGCAGCUCUAAAUGGGAGGUAAAUUUCUUCUAAAGCUAAAUACCGGCCAGAGACCGAUAGCGCACAAGUAGAGUGAUCGAAAGAUGAAAAGCACUUUGGAAAGAGAGUUAAAAAGCACGUGAAAUUGUUGAAAGGGAAGCGCUUACAACCAGACUUCUGGGCGGUGUUCCGCCGGUCUUUUGACCGGUCUACUCGCCGUCCCGAGGCCAACAUCAUCUGGGACCGCUGGAUAAGACCUUAGGAAUGUAGCUCCCCUCGGGGAGUGUUAUAGCCUGUGGUGAUGCAGCGCGUCUCGGGUGAGGUCCGCGCUUCGGCAAGGAUGUUGGCGUAAUGGUUGUCAGCGGCCCGUCUUGAAACACGGACCAAGGAGUCUAACAUCUAUGCGAGUGUUCGGGUGUCAAACCCCUACGCGUAAUGAAAGUGAACGGAGGUGGGAAGGGUAACCUGCACCAUCGACCGAUCCUGAUGUCCUCGGAUGGAUUUGAGUAAGAGCAUAGCUGUUGGGACCCGAAAGAUGGUGAACUAUGCCUGAAUAGGGUGAAGCCAGAGGAAACUCUGGUGGAGGCUCGCAGCGGUUCUGACGUGCAAAUCGAUCGUCAAAU
rnacentral:rRNA from 1 species